rnacentral:snRNA from 1 species
AUUGCUCUUUUAAAAUAAAAGAUCAAGUGUAGUAUCUGUUCUUCUCAGUUUAAUACCUGGGACGGAAACGAUUCGUUUCCUCUAUGUAUUAAUCGGAUUUUUGAACUUGGAGUAUGGUGCUGGAGCUUGCUCCACCCUGCUCACGGGUUGUCCUGGUAUUGCAGUACCUCCAGGUUCGGCUCACGUUUC